rnacentral:snRNA from 1 species
UCGCUUUGGUAGCGCGUAUAUUAAAAUUGGAAUGAUACAGAGAAGAUUAGCAUGACCCCUGUGCAAGGAUGACAUGCAAAUUUGUGAAGUGGUCCAUAUUAUU